rnacentral:ncRNA from 1 species
GAAUCAAAACACUCCUUUAAACACAAAGGCUUGGUCCCAGCCUUAUAAUCAGUUCUUACUUGACUUANACAUGCAAGUUUCCGCACCCCGGUGAAAACGCCCUUAAGCCUCCCCCCCGAGGACAGGAGCCGGUAUCAGGCACAAUAACCCGCCCAAAACACCUAGCAACGUCGCACCCACAAGGGUAUUCAGCAGUGAUAAACAUUGAAUAUAAGUGUCAGCUUGAUUCAGUUUAAGUAUAAAGAGUUAGCAAAUCUGGUGCCAGCCGCCGCGGUCAUACCAGGGACUCAAAUUGAUUGUCUUCGGCGUAAAACGUGAUUUAAGCCAUAAAAUUUACUAGAGUUAAACUUAUUCUAGGCAGUAACAAGCUUGCAGUAAGAAACCCAAAUACGAAAGUUACUCUAUCUACCCAACUUGAACUCACGAAAAUUUGGACACAAACUAGGAUUAGAUACCCUACUAUGCCAAAUAGUAAACUUUAACUUAACCCCACAUCGCCCGGGAAUUACGAGCAAAGCUUAAAACCCAAAGGACUUGACGGUGCCCCAUAUCCUUCUAGAGGAGCCUGUCCUAUAAUUGAUACUCCCCACUUAACCUCACCGCUUUUAGCCCCCCAGUCUGCAUACUUCCGUCGUCAGCUUACCUCGUGAGCGCCAUUCAGUAAGCUAAAUGCUUAUUCACCAGUACGUCAGGUCAAAGUGCAACAAAUAAAGCGGGAAGAGAUGGGCUACACUUUCUAAUUUUAGAAGAUACGAAAACUGAUGUGAAACCUCAGUUAGAAGGCGGAUUUAGUAGUAAAAAGAAAAUAGAGUGUUCUUUUUAAUUUGGCUCUGGGGUAAGUACAUACCGCCCGUCACCCUCUUCUCCGACCUCUAAACCAGUUCAUAACAAUCUACUGUCUUUAUCGAAGAGGCAAGUCGUAACAUGGUAAGUGUACCGGAAGGUGUACUUGGAAACGUAACAU